UGAAUUAUAGCUCAGUUGGUUAGAGCAUGGUGCUGAUAACACCAAGGUUGCAGGUUCAAUCCCCAAACAGGAUGGCUGCAUAUUCCU